rnacentral:rRNA from 1 species
UCCAGACUCCUACGGGAGGCAGCAGUGGGGAAUAUUGCACAAUGGGGGAAACCCUGAUGCAGCAACGCCGCGUGAGUGAAGAAGUCAUUCGUGAUGUAAAGCUCUAUCAGCAGGGAAGAAAAUGACGGUACCUGACUAAGAAGCCCCGGCUAACUACGUGCCAGCAGCCGCGGUAAUACGUAGGGGGCAAGCGUUAUCCGGAUUUACUGGGUGUAAAGGGAGCGUAGACGGCAUAGCAAGUCUGAAGUGAAAGCCCAAGGCUCAACCAUGGGACUGCUUUGGAAACUGUGCAGCUAGAGUGCAGGAGAGGUAAGUUGAAUUCCUAGUGUAGCGGUGAAAUGCGUAGAUAUUAGGAGGAACACCAGUGGCGAAGGCGGCUUACUGGACUGUAACUGACGUUGAGGCUCGAAAGCGUGGGGAGCAAACAGGAUUAGAUACCCGCGUAC